AACGGGUGAGUAACACGUGGGUAACCUGCCCAUCAGAAGGGGAUAACACUUGGAAACAGGUGCUAAUACCGUAUAACAAUCGAAACCGCAUGGUUUCGGUUUGAAAGGCGCUUUUGCGUCACUGAUGGAUGGACCCGCGGUGCAUUAGCUAGUUGGUGAGGUAACGGCUCACCAAGGCAACGAUGCAUAGCCGACCUGAGAGGGUGAUCGGCCACAUUGGGACUGAGACACGGCCCAAACUCCUACGGGAGGCAGCAUG
rnacentral:rRNA from 1 species